rnacentral:rRNA from 1 species
AUGUCAGACACACAUAAUCAGAUAUUUGCCCAUAAACGUAAGCUUUUGCCUAAAUUAAUCCCUGUUCAUGUGUCCAAGUUCAGUGAUCAUUUACGUUUACAAAAAAACCCUCUCUUUGUGCCUCAUCUUUCAGGAACUAUAUUUGAACCCUUAACUCUUGGAGGCCCCCAGUGUUCUUGCCAACAUUGUGGUGCUCUCUUUUGGUAUGACGAGCGUGUACGCAGAGAAAGACAUACUCAAAAUCCAACAUAUAAUUUGUGCUGCAAAGGAGGAAAAGUUUCCCUCCAGCCAUAUGAUCCUCCUCCUCAACCUCUAUUGGAUUUACUCACUUCACAUAAUAGUUCACUCUCAAGCCACUUCUUUCAUCAUAUUCGUCAGUACAAUACCAUGUUUGCCAUGACUUCAAUGGGAGCUAAAAUUGAUGAGUCCAUAAAUGAUGGCCGAGGCCCAUACGUUUUCAAGAUCAGUGGCCAAGUCUGCCACCGUGUUGGUUCAAUGAGACCAUCUAGAGGAAAGAGACCAGAAUAUGCACAAUUAUACAUAUUUGAUACAGAGUGUGAGGUUUCAAAUAGAAUAAAUGUUGCCUCAUCUUCGCGCACCGGUUCAUCUUCGCCUUCAUCUACACGCACUUUGUUCCAAGCUAAUGAAGGCAUUGUUCAGUCCCUCAUAACAAUGUUGAACACACAUAAUCCCAUUGUGAAACUAUUUAGAACAGCAAGUCAAAGAUUACAUGGCAAUGAUUCUGACCAUUUAUACAUCAGAAUAUAUGGCAAACCUGAUGCCCAUGGAGAUAUCUAUAGUGCUCCACUUGCAUCCGAAGUUGUUGGAUUAGUGGUUGGAGAUUUAGGGUCUUCUAAUGUUGGACGGAACAUUAUAAUAGAAGAUCAUUCAUCACGGUUACAACAGAUCAAUGAAAAACACUGCAAGUUUAUGUCCAUGCAAUAUCCUCUUUUAUUUCCAUAUGGUGAGGAUGGUUAUCAUGAUGAGCUUAUGUGCCUUCCAGUGUCAAAUGCAUCAAAUCAACGCCAAAAAGUCACAAUGCUAGAAUACUAUGCAUAUAGGUUACAUGAUAGGCCAAAUGACUUCAACACUCCAUUACGAUGCAAAAGGUUAACACAGGCUUACUUUGUGGAUGGCUAUUGUUCUGUUGAAACCUUUCGUAUUGCAUUCUACCGCAAGCCUAGCUUUCAACGGAAA